rnacentral:rRNA from 1 species
UACAGAGGGUGCAAGCGUUAAUCGGAAUUACUGGGCGUAAAGCGUGCGUAGACGGUCAUGUAAGUCGGGUGUGAAAUCCCCGGGCUCAACCCGGGAACUGCGUCCAUACUGGCAGGCUUGAAUUCGGGAGAGGGAUGUGGAAUUCCAGGUGUAGCGGUGAAAAUGCGUAGAUAUCUGGAGGAACACCGGUGGCGAAGGCGGCAUCCUGGACCGAUAUUGACGCUGAUGCGCGAAAAGCCCAGGGGGGAGCAAAACGGGGGAUUUAAGAAAACCCCUAGUAGU